AUGGCCAAUCGCUGGGUCAGGCCUGAGGUAUACCCGCUGUUCUUUGCGGUUGGAGCUGCUGUUGGGAUCUGUGGGUUUUCUAUGGUUCGUCACAUGUGCAUCAACCCUGAAGUCAGGGUGAACAAGCAGAGCCGAGCUGCAGGAGUGUUGGAGAACUUUUCAGAGGGAGAGAAGUAUACAGAACAUUUGUUGAGGAAGUUUUCACGCAACAGGUCACCUGAGAUUAUGCCUGGCAUCAACGGCUUCUUUACUGACCCAAGUCGCAAUUAA